UUGGGGACAGGUCCCUUCAUUCCGUCUUCUCCUGGAAUCGAUCGCUUCUCAGCGCCCCGUAAAAAACAGUUUUCCCCAUCGCCGACGACCACCAUGGAUGAUUUUCGAUCACCACCGGCCGCCGGCAGCCGCAGCUUAUUCCUGAUCUGCUGUUGUUAGCCUCAAACCUGCAUAGACUAUUAGACCACCGUGCGCGUGCUGAAUUGUACUAGCUCGGAUCAGAUCAGACCACGUCGCCGGAAACGGGGAGCAGAGAAGAAUCUCUCCCCGCCGGUGCUGGAACCGACCACGUCGCCGGAAACGGGGAUCCUACGCAACGAAGGCUGAAUGCAGGAUAAACCAUUGCUUAUGUAGUCUACUCUUUGGGGAAGCAUGAUGUUUGAACCGAUGGCGUGCUUCCUUGUAGCAUCUGGAAAAAUCCAUUUGGGUGUGGAAGGUGUUGGCUUCACAGACGAUGUGCAAAACGACCAGAUGGCUGGCUGCGAUUCUGGAGCACAAACACGAUCCUUUUGGUAUUGUAGUUGUGAGAUCAAGGAAAAUCAUCUGUAUUUGCAAUUGACAAGAGUAAUGUAAUAUUAGAGGCAACAUGUGCCUUUCAGGUAUAGGAGUACCCAUGUUUAGUUCAGCAAACAGGAACUUGAGUUGCUGUUACAUAUAUGUGCGAUUCUAUGGACAACCUUGUGUUGUGUUUUAUCAAUCUGGUAUGUAUGUAUGUUGUUAGCUUUACUAGACAACAUGCUUCCUAAAGGUGUUACUA